AAGUCUCAGUCAGUUAGAGCGUGGUGCUGAUAACACCGAGGUCACGGGUUUGAUUCCCGUU
rnacentral:tRNA from 1 species